rnacentral:rRNA from 1 species
GAUGAACGCUGGCGGCGUGCCUAAUACAUGCAAGUCGAGCGAACGGACGAGAAGCUUGCUUCUCUGAUGUUAGCGGCGGACGGGUGAGUAACACGUGGAUAACCUACCUAUAAGACUGGGAUAACUUCGGGAAACCGGAGCUAAUACCGGAUAAUAUUUUGAACCGCAUGGUUCAAAAGUGAAAGACGGUCUUGCUGUCACUUAUAGAUGGAUACGCGCUGCAUUAGCUAGUUGGUAAGGUAACGGCUUACCAAGGCAACGAUGCAUAGGCGACCUGAGAGGGUGCAGUGCCACCGUGAAAGCGAGACGCGGUCCAGUCCCCCGGGGGGGGGCAGUGUUGGAUAUUUUCCCAAAGGGGAGAAACUCUUCCAGCCAAACCGCGCGUGAGUAGAAGAGGUUCUGAGUGUGAAAAACCUUUUUUUUAGGGAAAGAGAAGUUUGUUAAUAACUUGCUGCAUUUUCGUGGCCACCAAAAAAAACACCCCCUCAAACCACG